rnacentral:misc_RNA from 1 species
AAAUCGCCUUUUCCUAUAUACCAGGUAAGUGUCUAUUUGUUGUUUAAAUAAUCACUGGUUAUAAUUUGCCACAAUGAAUGUAAACUCUGUGUUGGCAAUGGAAACUUCAUUCAUAUUAUCCUUUACUAUUUGCCCUAGCUUGGCUUUGAGAUUUAUUUUAGAGACCUUUUAAUUCAUUGAGAUUUCACAUGUCAUUUUUCCAACUAUUGUUCAUUCUGUUAUUUAGCUUUUUUAUGCUUGCUUAAGUCUUGAGCUUGGUAAUAACAAAUAACCAACUCAACAGUUCAAUUAGUCCUGGCACAUUUAGGAUGUGCUGCUUAAGUGUUAUUUUCCUGUUUCUCCUAUUCUAAGGCCUCAAUUCUUUUAGUGUUGUAGUCAUUUAUCUUUGUUGUACAAAUUUGAUCAGACUCCCUACAUUGCACAUUUGAUGUUGAUGCUUCUCUUGACAAUAUUAUCUCUUCUCCUACACUGAUUUUACCACUUGCAACCAAAUAAAGUACUAACCUUGAAACCUCUUCUUUUCGUUUCAGGUAAUUUGUUCAUGAUUAAGUGAAAAAAUAGUUCCUAAAUAAGUAUCUAAUGAUGCCAAGUUUGAAAUGUAUUCAUUAGUGAUAAAAAUCUAAUUGUCGUUGGUUAGAUAUAUCACAGUUUUAUCGGAACACCAUGUUAUUUACUGUGUGAAGUAUAGCAGUUUCUAAAUAAGUUAAAGAAGCUAAUAUAAUAUAUCUUUACCCUAGGACCCACCAUGUGUGUUUUUAUAGUAAAAAAGAUCAUGU